GCGGUGGUGGUUUAGUGGUAGAAUUCUAGUCUUCCAUGCAGGAGGCCCAGGUAUGAGUCCUGGCCAACGCA
rnacentral:tRNA from 1 species